rnacentral:rRNA from 1 species
UACGUAGGGAGCAAGCGUUGUUCGGAAUUACUGGGCGUAAAGCGCACGUAGGCGGCCUUUCAAGUCAGAUGUGAAAGCCCCGGGCUUAACCCGGGAAUUGCAUUUGAUACUGUUGGGCUUGAGGCCGGGAGAGGAUAGUGGAAUUCCCAGUGUAGAGGUGAAAUUCGUAGAUAUUGGGAAGAACACCAGUGGCGAAGGCGGCUAUCUGGACCGGUACUGACGCUGAGGUGCGAAAGCGUGGGGAGCAAACAGG